ACUAACGAGCAUCUCACAUUUCGUAUGAUGUAUUCUGCCGUUACUGACAUAGUACGCGAUACAUCCACGCUAGAGAUGAGUCAUUACACACCUUGUGUAUUGUCCACCCUCGCCAUGGGGGCUUCCUUCCGCGAAGAAAUCGUCGAACCGCCUCCAAUUAUUGAACUUUGAUUAGAUCUCGAUUGUUCGUCCCGGACACGUCUGGUGUAACGUAACCGGUUGUGAUAAUGAGUCAAGAGAAUUGCAUCAUAAAUCGUAAUUGAUUUUGUAAUUGCUAACACUCUAGACUGGACGUAUUGUCGCUAAUGCUACAUUAUCGGGAAGCAUUUUAUUGCUAAAAAAUUAAAUAGUAUAUCGACCGUAUAUCGCUAUCGUUAUCGGCCAGCAUGAAACAUGUUAGGAUAUCUGUUGAUAGUUGGAGAAAAAUUAAAAUAAAACAGGUUUCUAAAAUACUCGCAGUCAUACGUUUACUCUGCUUUACUAUGCAGAAGAUUAGGAUCUCUACGUCUCUCUUAUUUUAAUCCAAACAAAAAAUAUAUGGAAAUUUUUAGAAUAUUUUAUAUGGAUCGUGGAUGUUUGUGUAUUCAUAGAAAUUUGGAAGUUCCUGAAAUCCGCAGAAUGUAUAAUACCUACUUAGUAUAAUAUUUGGCGAAUAAAAGAAUUCUUUGCCUAGGUAUCAUGUUUUGAGUGAUUCAUAAAAAAAUUAUUCAUACAAAUUAUGUAUACACUUUCAACCAGUUUUUAAUGAUAAUGAUCCAAUAUAAAUCACGGGCGCUUUGAAAAGUAAAAACGUUAUACGUAAAUAUUCAGAGGAUCAUGGAGAAAUUAACGUACACGCGUACAGAUUAAUGUAACAGAGGGGAAAAAUACAACAUCGAUAUUAAGUUGAAGUUAAAAAAUAAAAGUGGGAUCGUUACUUAUACAUUUAAUAAAAUCCUUCGCUUUUUUUCACUAAUUAUUCGAAAAUACGAUCAUCUGCACGAUAGCCCUCUAUAAAGCGAAGGAAUUCGAUCAUUUGUCCAUUCUUAAUUCUCCUUUUUAUUUUAAUCCAUUCUAAGAAGAAAUGGUAGGAUAAUUUAAAUAUAAUAAAGACCAACAAUGCAAGGACUACAUAGUGACGUCAACUGAACAUUUCCAUUUAAAGUUAAGCAGAAAUAUCGUGUCUAUCAUUAAUCUUGGUCGUACUAUAUUCAGUUACGCUUUUCCUUUUUCUUACACAUUCUGCAUUUCGAAAAUGUACGUGUGCAGAACGUAUCACCUUGAUAGAAAGAUGCUGCAUACACAUGACAUCUCGUUUCUCGACAACCGCUGAUUCUCCUCGUCACAUUGACUUACACUCGUCGGACCGUACAUUUCAAUCCCGCUUCAGAACGUUUUCUCAUGCUAAUUUCGCUGUGGCCCGUUUCCAUCUCGCACGACGCUCACGUACACCGUCUAAAUCAGUUUGUUUGCGGAACGGCGUGCGAAACAUUCUACGCUGAUGCACCGUAUACGUCCGAUCAUUAACAAUAACUUAUGCACCUGUCAGAUAAGUUGCUGCACGUUAACAGCAUAUUUUCUGCAAACGUUAGUUUCCACUUGGUAUCAACUCGCAAGUAAUAAUUUUGAAGUGCCUUAAAAAUUCUUGAUUAAAAAUAGAUCAUAUUAGAAUAUACGUAUAAGAAUAAGUUAUAUUUAGACCUGGAUAGAUGUUUAUGCAAAUUGAUAUUUCUAUGAACAGAACUAAAGAUUUUAAAGGAUACUAAAGGACUAAAGACGCAAAGAUUUGUUUCACCUACUAAAUAUCAUAACGGAUACUGUACUUUGCUUCUGUCGUAUGUAUGCCUGCAUAUUACGCGCAUUCUGUGCAUUUUUACUUUUACGUUUCUUUUAACGUUUCAAUUUGAAUUUAUACGAGGCACCGAGGACAAAGGUGAACCAAGCCAUAUCUUCUCUCGAUGCAAGCUUACGUUAUUGCAGUAAGCUGUAUUAAUCGUGAAAAAGUGGAGGAACUGGUUCUUUUUUCCAAAACAAACCUAGAUAACAUAACGAAAUCGUAAAUUGCUCGAUUUGUUGAGUAACUGGGAUUCGCCCACUCUUGUUUUCAAUUUCUAGCGUGUACGUGUAGUCUACUCUUGCUACUGAUACUUUCGAAGUAAAUCUAAAGAAGCUCGAAAGCUUGAGAAAUUAAUUAAAAAACAGAGAUUUUUCAUUUAUGUGUAACAGAAGAUCGAUGAAUUAGGUUUUGCACUCGAGGUAAUCUAAUCUGUACACAUUUUAGAAAAGUAUCAAUUUCUUUUUAAUUUCUCAAGAUACGCGCACAAAGAGAGGAGAGGUUCUAUCACUUUCGAAUAAUGCGAUUGAUUCCAUUCUAUCAAUGAAGGCAUGCCGAUGUUUGCCAACCGUUUCAACGAGCUUCAUUGUCUUUCUUCAAUUUUAUUAUUAGGUUUCAUAGCACGCGCAAACGCAUAACAUAUGCGAAAUGAAAAUAGAUUCAUUGCGCCUCUGUUACCAUGGCCUUCGCUGCAUAUUUGCUUACAAGGUGCGUCUUAAAAGCAUUGUAAACACCGCGUACUCUAUCUACCAGUUGAUUGCGUAUCUCGUUUGGCGCGGAAAGAAUCGAACUCGCCGCAGUGCCACUUGCUUGAUCCAUAGCCCGCUUACUAGAACCAAAUCUAAACUGCUGUUGACUUACCCCAGUCGCGUGAACACUACAGUAAUUGAAGAAUACUCGUUAAAAGCAGAUAAUUUUCGAUUAUUUGAAACAUUUAAAAACAAUGUAAAAAUAAGUUUGUUCUUAUUCAAAUAUACUAUCCCGAAGAAAAUACAUAAUGACGAUUCAAAUGAUUAUUUAUAUGCAAGGCGAAAAUCAAAUAUAACAAAAGUGCGUCGGAGGCUUCGUGUUUGAAAAAAUCGAGUUUGAAAAUUUACGAGGUACAGGGUACGUGAAUUUGACCAAUUGUCGGCUGGACUGAAAUGGACAACUGAUAGGAAAUUGUUCUACACAAAUAAAUUGAAAAUGAAGAAUAAAAUUUUGUUGUUUACACUCUCGUUUUGGGGAAAAUGAAGUUUAGAUAUGUUAGCCAAGAAUUAGUCCAAGUAGACGUAGAUUUUAUCGAAAAAUGAGACUUCAAAUGAAAAGAUGUUAUUCUACAUUUUUGAUAUUAUAUUUCCAUAUGUAAUAUAAUUCAUCGAUUAUAGAUCAUCGACUAUCUACUCCUGUCUAGCUGAGAAUCAAACGAAUUUACGCAUACCUCACAAAUUUUCAAAACGAAGCCCCCAACGCAGUUUUGUAUGUGUUCAAAUUCUAUUAGUCAUCGCAUGUACAGUCAGUCACGAAAAUAUUCUGCAAAUUUAUUGCAGUUACAGGCUAAAACUCGCGAAGAACAGCAAACUUAUAGUAACGUUAACCGAUUUCGAUGAAACUUUCAGUACGUAUAUAACUGAUAUAAAUGUCCAACAUAUGUUGUUUAAAUUUUUUCAAUAUUUCUUUUACACGUUAUCUGGUACUAAUCCUUCUGGCUUCUCAAGAAAACUCAAGUCGUUUGGUCCAAUUUUUCAACAGUUAUUCUACUCUAAAGAGUGUACAGAUAUUUUCGUGACUGACUACAGUCAACGCUUACGAUAAGAAAGGAAAAUUAUAAGCCAUAGAAAAACCCAGUGAACUAUUACGCGAACGGUCCAGUUAAUUUUUAUUAUCAAUUUAAUCCUACGAUGUAUACUUACCGAUAAAUGAAGUUAAAUUAAAAAAAAAAAAAAAAAAGAAACAGAGAAACUCAUUUCGUUCUUCCUUAAUGUCGUAUCUGGAACGAUGGCUGAAUUAAUAAUACGCCCCGAUCUAACAAUAAACCUCGUAACUCGAACGAGUCUCAUCGACCUCGUUGAGGGACGAAUGAAAAAUAAUCCGAAUAAAAGGAACAAGCAAAACUCGCCAUUAUCGAAAAUUUCACAAAAAUUCAUUCUGAAAAAGGGAAGAGAGAAGAAUUUUUCAGAAAACGUUUUUAAAAGAAGAAUCGACGAUAGGUAUCUGAUGGACAUGCACGUCGAAUUAACGAAGCAGCCCAUUGAAACGGUACAACAAAAGUCCGAUCGUUCUAUGCGGCGCUAUAUUUACCAGUUGCUUGGGUGUGUUGAAAAAUAUAAAGAAGCACGCUGUGCGUGGUAAUACCAGGCUGUGAUAUUAAAUUCGAUGCAACGAUGGCUCACGGUCGUGGGAAUUUGUUUACAAAUUGAUGAUAGCGGCUCUUCGAUCGUCCGAUGAUUAGUUUCCGUUGAUGGGACCGAGCGAAAGAAAAAUUGCAUAAUUGACGUCGCUCUAUGACCAAGUUUUUGAUAGAGUUUAAAUUUUACCAAUAUACACUGCCUAUCAUAAGGAUUAAUAUAUCUACUCGUUGCGAUUGUUGCAAAAGUCUAAUUUUUACUUUGUUUAAUAUCUUACAUUGUAAGCCACAUACGAAUUAACACACGGAAGAAUUAGCAGACGAAUUAACAGAUUUAUAAUAAAAUAAUGAAAAAAUAAAGGCAUUGCAAGACAUUCAAUUUAAAUUAACGUCAUGAAGUAUCCAACUACGUAUAACCGGUAAUGUAAUUAUGACUAUCGUGUCUCAAUAUAGUGUUAAUGAAAUUUUAAAAUGUACAAGUUUUCCACAAUGAACGUUUAAAUACUCUUGCAUGCCUGUAUUUGAAGAUCAAAGGGCAAAAAGAUAUAAUAAGGCUACUUUCCUUAGUUUCCAUCACUUUUGUGUUAUUUUGUGGCUAAAAAGUUAUAUUUUAAUGCGAAAUACACAUUUGAAGAAGCGAGUGAUCUCGUAUAUUUGAUGAUGCUUAUAAAUCCUUUGAAAAUAGGUGAUAGAUCCACAGUGAUUUUUAAGAAUUAAAUGUUUGUGUAAUUGUCAUGUUGCUUCAAUUAAAUUAAUGGGAAUCUACGUGUAACUGCUGUUAUUAAUACGUCUUAAGUAUGUAAGAGGAUAAGAAAAACACAUAUUUAAUCCCAAAAUCAAACGCAAACACAGCUUUGAUAUGAAAUUGUUUGGCAACCUAUUCAAUUUUAAUAUUGCUCAUCUAUAAAAGACGAGAAAUAUGAUUUAUCAUGUUUUUCACCUGUGGUUGUGCUCUCUAUAAGAGAAAUGAAAUAUUAAUUUCUUUUUUUUUUUUUUAUCGAACGGUCAUCAGAUAUUACGGUUCGUCUUAUUUUUCUCUUUCCAAGUUCUCCCGGUGUACAUAAAAAUCUCGUUAGAGUGAAAUUAAAUCCAGGAAUUUCCAUCGACGUAUACUUAUCAGCUAUGUUACAAGGAGUUCGUUUCAUCGUGUAUCUUACUUAUAACGUAUCAUGCUCGCGUGCUUAAUACUCAUUGUUGAACUUUCCAUUACAAAAAGAUAUGGUACGCGUAGCAAGAAAAUCUCGAAAUAAUCCUAUCAAUAGUAAAAGCUAUCUAGUUACGUAAACCGUCAAAGUUAUAAACUGUCGCAAUUAAUUUGCGUGUAUUAUAAUUGAGGAGAUUUCUUAUUCGCCAUGAGGCGAAAUGGCAAAUUGACCAAAUUACAUUCAAGUCUUAGCUAUAAUUUUUUAAUAUUAGCUUUAAGCUUUCUAGCUUUUUGAUUAUACCUUUAAAUUGAUAAUUAUGAAGAAGCUCGUGAAGAACUUCUAAAGAAUUUCUUAGAAAACUUUGUUUCCUCUUUUAUAUUUACAAAAUAAUUGAAAUUUAAAAUAAUUUAACUGUUUGGCUAGAAGACGCCUACAAGCUCUUUUAUUGGAAAACUCUUCAAUUACGCUGCAAUUUGAUUCUUCAUUUUAUCUAAAUCUUCAUUUUUAUCUGAAUUGCACGAAGUAUGUUAAUACAAAUAUUAAAUAAUAAACAUUGGAGUAAAAAACAAGCUAAAUUAUUAUAAAAUAAUCCAUUUCGAUAAUCUUUACAAUCGAUGAUAUAAAUAAUGAUUGAUUAAGAAGCCAAUGGUUUUUAUCUUUCUGGCUCUAGUUUUAGUUCGUACAUCUACUAUUCUAUUCGCCAUAUAAAUUAUACAAGUGUAAGUUUCCUCAGUCGAUACUAAUUAUUGACAUUCCUUAUCGGAUUAGGAAUGACCCGAAUAUGUACAUAUUCCAGGUACUCUAUUGAAAAUAUCGCUCAAAAUAAAUUUCUCGAUCUAUCAAAAUUUCAUACUUGAUAAAUUCUCAUCCGGUUAAUUUUAUCGCGUUCAUGUGAUCUGAAAGACCGCUGACUCGAUUAGCCACUUCACAUUCAGAUAAAAGUUACAGGUAUCUAGAAAAAAACGCAAUACGAGACCGAAACAACAAUAAAAAUGAUAUAUCGUUAUUAUUAAACCGUUAUCGUAAUAUGUUAUUAAAAAAAUCAAAGAAAAUACAUUCGGGAGAAAAAAUUAUCUGACUGUUCUCUUGGUAAUCAUUCGUAUUAUUCUUCGAGUUAUUCGUUACAAUUUAUCAAAAGGGCAAUAUGAAUCAUGUGCGGCUCCACGUUACAUUUAUUAAUCUCUCAACUUCAUUACAUAAAUUCAUUAUUUUUCAUUCAUUGCAUCAAUUUUAUAUUCAUAUUCAUAUUUAUGUUCACAUUCAUAUUCAUGUUCAUAUUCAUAUUCAUAUUCAUAUUGAAUAGUUGAGGGACAAAUAAAUACAUGAAAUCAUAAAACGUAACAGUUGGCUUACGAAAGUAGCUGAAAUUUUUAAUAAAUUUUUUAUAAGAUGAAAAAGAGGCUGGCCAGUGGACAUGUUCGAUUAAACGAUUCCUUUUGAAAGAAAUCUGAAUGAAUUAUCUAUAUUAUACAUAUUAAUAAGCCUCUUCUUUGAAAGUAAAUUAUUUUUCUAAACUAGUAUUUCAACCUAUCGGCAAUUAACAUAGUAGAAGACCGUGUAAAUAAAAAUUGCAAGGAACGAUAGAGAUAGCGGACAGUCAAUUAAAGAGGUAGAUAACUUUAAUGAUUUCGCUUCCCUUGAUUUUCAUUUUUUUACACAAUCGAGGAAAUAAUCACCAGUAAGUAUACGUCGUUAGAUUUCUCUCUUGAACUUGGAUUUUAUCAGUUUCCAUUGUUGAACGAUAACAAACUCAUUACCUGCUUUUUUUCAAAGAAAUGUGUAUUCACUUUUUAUGCCAUCUUUAUACGACAAUAUGAUUAGCAGAGAUCAGCUAUAAUCAGCUGUGUUAUAUGAAUCAUGCAUCGGUAAAAUUAUCCGCAACGAGUGUGUUCUUCCUUUUCUCUUAGUAAUCAUUUUACAAACAUAAAGAUUUCGUGCGAACAGUGGCUACAGAACAACUGCGACGUUUCACAGAGAUUUAUAUUUUGAAAAAUGUAACUGAAAUAGUAGAGCCUUGACAAAAAAUUGUUUUAUCCAUCAACUAUUACGCAAAGCACUACACUAUUUCAUAUUUAAUAUAUUUUCUUAUAUUAAACGCGUUCUGCACAAUUUUGCACCUUCAAAUUUUCUAUUAAUAUUUAUAUCAUUGUAUUUAUUAUGUUGAAGUUAAUUAGAUUCAGGUACAUGAAAUUUCGUACUAUGUGUUUGUUAGUAUCUCUAAAUAUAAUUAGAAAAAUUUGAUAUUACGAAAGCGAAGCGUAAAGCCUGAUAACGUGAACGCGAUUGAAAUUAAUAAAUACUAUAAUCCUUCGAAUUUUAUUUUUAGAAGAAGAGAGUACAUUUUGUAUUAUACAAUAUUAAUUGAUACUAUCGAUACAAUUUCGAGAGACGUUUUAUCUUAAUCUAUUAUUGGAGAUUAUUGUGCUUAAAAAUUGAUAUGAUCUAUUAUUCCCCUCUUCGCCUUCUUGUUUCAUGUAUAUUUUAUAUAAUUAAUCGCAACUUAAUCCGCAUUUAUUUACUCAUUAGGAACUAAACAGUGAAAAAAUACGGAAAAAGUCGGGUAAUGGGAGGAAAAUAUCUUACACGUUGGCUUCAUAGAUGCUGAUUAUACAAAUAUAAUAGACAUGAAAAGUUGUCGUAAUUUCAAAGAGAAUAAUUUAUUAUGAUGUUAUGAAUUCGUACUUCAAAGUCCAUCAAAUUCUAAGGAUAAAACAUAACAAUUAAUGAUGAAUUAUUAAUGAACUUUUCCGACCUUUCUGUCACAUUAUUGUCAUCGUCUUGCGAAUCAACAUAGAAAGGAAAUAUUUGCAAAGUCAUAUCUUAUAAAAUCCACGUGUUAUAUGCCAAUCCAUGUAUUUAACGCAGUGAAAAAAGAUUGCGUCAUAUGUAAUAUAAACAUAACUUCAGUAUUUAAGAAAUUAAUCUAUAAACCAUUUGUAAUUUACAUUUCAUUAACUUACACGUAGCUAGAGAUGAAAUGUUAUAUUAACAUGUUACAUUAACUCUGAGGAAAUUAAUCUAAUAAAUCAUUCCACAUUGCUAGAUACAUUGCAGAUAGUGGUAAAAAAUGCAACUGUAGCUCUCGCGGUAGUCGCACACUUCUCAUGAACAUUAUUACGUGUGUUAAACGAAACAUUUCAAAAUUUUAUUGGCACUGUAACGACGCCCAAGUAUUAUGAUUAUUAAUAACUAUUAUUUGAUACAAUUUUGAAUUUUUGGAAUUCCUCUCUUUGAGAUUUUUGUAAACGUAUAUAGAAAUUGCAAGAUGUAUAUAUUUUGCAGACACAAAAAUAUUUGAACAGGCUAUCAUUCACUGUAAUAGCUAUUAUAAUAUGCUUAAGAUUUUUCUACUAAUUAUUCAUAAUACUAACUUUUCACUAAAUAUAAGUUUACGGUAAAUACCUUGCAACUUCUAAGUAUGCAUGUAUAUUUUCAAAUUGGAUUCGAGUUU